rnacentral:rRNA from 1 species
UACAGAGGUCCCAAGCGUUGUUCGGAUUCAUUGGGCGUAAAGGGUGCGUAGGUGGCAUGGUAAGUCGGGUGUGAAAUCCCGGGGCUCAACCCCGGAACUGCACUCGAUACUGCCGUGCUCGAGUACUGGAGAGGAGACUGGAAUUUACGGUGUAGCAGUGAAAUGCGUAGAUAUCGUAAGGAAGACCGGCGGCGAAGGCUAGUCUCUGGACAGUUACUGACACUGAGGCACGAAGGCCAGGGGAGCAAACGGG